rnacentral:rRNA from 1 species
UUUCGCAAUGCCCGAAAGGGUGACGAAGCGACGCCGCGUGUGGGAAGAAGGCCUUCGGGUUGUAAACCACUGUCGGGAGUUAAGAAAUACAAGGAUAUUAAUAGUGUCUUUGUUUGACUAAGGCUCCGGAGGAAGCCACGGCUAACUCUGUGCCAGCAGCCGCGGUAAUACAGAGGCGGCAAGCGUUGUUCGGAAUUAUUGGGCGUAAAGAGCACGUAGGCGGCUAUGUAAGUCGGUUGUGAAAGCCUUCCGCUCAACGGAAGAACAGCAUCCGACACUACAUGGCUUGAGUGCGGGAGGGGAGAGUGGAACUUCUGGUGGAGCGGUGAAAUGCGUAGAUAUCAGAAGGAACGCCGGCGGCGAAAGCGGCUCUCUGGCCCAUAACUGACGCUGAGCGUGCGAAAGCUAGGGGAGCAAACGGGAUUAGAUACCCCGGUAGUCCUAGCCGUAAACGAUGGGCACUAAGUAGAGGGGUUUU